UUUGUGGAACUAACGUAUAUAAUUAUUCUUUGACAUCUUCAUUCAGGCUCACUGAACAGUGAGAAACGUUAUUCAUGUUUCACCCAUUCUGCUGCAUCAAAGAGAAAUUCCAUAAUCUACUAUGGGUCACAGAACAACCUGUACCAGACGCUAGAAGGCAGAAGUGAAGCCUGACGGGAGUUACCACGAGGAUCGCGUAUCGGUCUUCCCAUCUGCGGGGCCACAGUUGACUGUAAUAUUGAAGGAACAAGAUACAUCUAAGAAGUUAUUCCCCUGUCUGUGGUGUCUGAAACAUUGAUCUAAGGUUUUUCAAGCAGCUGUCACAUCAACAAAGUGCCCCUGGGUAGUGUCAUCUGUCUUGAAGAGAAACAAUACAAAGCUGCAGCCUAGCACUUAGAUAGCAAAGACACAAAAUAGGUUGAUACAAUGAGUUAUAUUUUUGUCUUGUGGGACAGAUGUAGCUGAAAGGGUGUAGAGUGUUGAUGGAGGAAUUAUAUUUGAACAUUACGUUUUCUGUAUUGUCCAGCGUGGAACUCUCUUCCUAUGUGUACAGAGGGGGAAAAAAUACAAGUAAGAAAAACUACCAGAUCCUAUAUAGGGAAGGAGUAUUUAUUCAAAGCACUUGAGAACACUUAGUAAAUAAUCACAGGUGGGUACCACUGCAGCCUGGAAUGCUGUGAUAGAGCUGAUGGACUCUGCUGUGACAGCUAAUACAGGUUGCUGCUAGGAGGCUCUUCCAUCAUCAGAGAUGACCAGGAAAAUGGAAUUUGCUGCAAUGAAAUGGCAGGUCUUCAUCAUAGGAGAUACAAAGCAUUUUGCGUUAUUUUCUGUAAAAUUGUUUAAUUUGUAAAGCACAUUUUUAAUUGACCAUGCUGAAACAGCAAAUCAAUCCCUAUGAGAAGAAAAAGAAAUAGAUGUGCGAAUCUCUAGUUUGAGAGAGUUAAAAUGGCAUGAUAGCACAAAAUGAAAAGGGAUUAUUUGGUUGUUUUUAAAGUGGUGAUUACAGUCUUCUGAGCUGAGUCAAGUUGCUUUCUGUUCUUUCCCUUGCUUCCAGUUUAUUUUAUUUAUGGUUUUGAGUUGUCUAGCUUACCUAGGCUAUCCAUAAGGAGAUAUGACUCUUUGUUUGAACUGUUGUUUCUUUUUUGGUGACCUUUUCUCUGUCUAGUUCAAUUAAGGUUUUUUUUUUUUCCCAACAGCUUCAAAAUUGCUAGGUGAAUACUGAAUUAAUGUAUUUAGCUGAAAGCUCCAAAUUUCCCACUACCUAAAUACAGUCAUCACAGUGUCUGUUAUUUAGCACUAAUUUGUCUCAUACUCAAAUCAUCUUCAAGACAUUAAGGUCAAGAACAUGUCUCCCUUCCAAACCAGAGGUAUUUAAAAGUGUAGAAUGGGGAGGGAGCAUGAAGACUUACCUUACCACUUGUCAAGCAUCAGAAACCAUGUGGAAUAAGUGUUUUCACUUGAAGACCCUAAGUGUUGCACAGUACUGGUGUAGAAAGCUACUGGAAGUAGCUCUUUGAGAGAACAUAUGAGGUGAAGAUGUGAUCUGCUUGCUUACCAUGAUUGCCUUAAGGAAGCAGCAACACUAUUAAUUAGUUCCUUUCUCUACAAGUUCUACACAUGUUCAUCUGCUUGUGACAACUACGGUACUGUUCCUUGCUUGACUGUCUACUGCAUCAGUUGCUUAUCUCUGCAUGACUGACACAUGUUAGUUUUAAAAUAAAUUCUGCCGAUUCCACUGGAGCAGGAUACGGAUCAGUAACAGUAACCUACCUGGGUAUGUACCAUAGGGUCUGAUUAUAACACUUCAUACAGUUAGAAGUUAGAAGCAAUGCAGUACUCUUUUUUUUUAAUACUAUAGAGGAGUGCUUUUUGGAAAUUUAAUCUGAUUUCUUUCAUUUUCAGUGGAAAAAGUUUGGUGGUAGUGUGAGGACACUGGACAAAAAAAUGCAUGAGCAUCUUGUAGGUGUUGGAACUAUAAUUUUCCAUAGUAGAUGCUGUAGGCCAAAAUCUCAGUUAGCACAAAGCCUCAUGUUAUUACUAAAAAAUGUACAUGAAUUGAGAUGCUGCUCUUUCCAUUCCUUUGACACGCACCAUGAAGGGUCAUUUAUUAUUCACUAUGUACCUGAAGGCCUUCUUGCCUUUAGUCACUGUCAAGUGUGCAGGAAUAAUCAGGCUGCGUGUCUUUUUUGCAUUUAUAUAGAUGGCUUUCAAAUGAAAUUCUGCAGCUUUAGGCCAAAAGUUUUCUCCUUUAGCCAUAGAUCCUGUCAUUUUUCCUUUCCUCAGGCAUACUGACCUUAGCAAGUUGGGAAGACAUGCGCACAAAUGAUAGGUCAUUAGAAAAUUCUCUGAACAGCAAACCUCUGAAGUCAGCCCAAGUUCUAUUUGCUAUACAUCAUGAUAAAACUGGAAAGUCAAAGGAGGCACAAAUCAUAUGCUCAGUCUGUAAUCUAUCAGUUGCUGAAGCUGUUGUUUCCCUAAACUCAACCUCUUUUGCAAUGUAGUUCAACAAGAUUGCCAAAGCUCACUAAACUGAGUAGGGCUGACAAAUUUUUGGCAAUUCUCUUCAGUGUAAGAUCAUGCUGCCACAACAAAAACAGGCAUUUCUUUUUGCCAUAACAAAGCAUCACAGUAAUGUUGGUCUAUAAGCUUGUUUUGCAAUUAUAUUUUGGGAAUUCAUCCCAUUAAAAGAACAAAAUGCAACUGCAGCAAUUGUAGGACUUCUACAGUCAGUCCUUUGUUAAUGAUUUGUUUCUGCUAAUGUAAUACUGUAUAUAAUCUGUCCAUGAUUUUAGCCAACAGAAGAAGCAGGUUAUCUUGUUUCUCCUUAGAUCUUGUGGGGGGGGGAAAAAGAGGAUGUUUAAUGCAGUGGAAUAAAGAGCAGAGGACUGUAGAUUCUAAUGAAUAUUCAUUGAGUUAAGAUAGUACACCACGUGUCAAGAAAAAAUGUGACUUGCUAUGAAUUAACACAUCUCAAAGAGCUUCCAGUGUGACCAGUUGUUAAUAUUUAAUUUUAAUGCUUUCUGAAAGCACUGACUUUUUUUUCAGUGCGUGUUUCUGAACUCACUGGGAGUGAGAUGAUUUCUUUACAAUGAUACGUGAUACCUCAGAAGUACUGCAAUGAUAAAAGGGGUAUUUUUUCAUAUAAUCUUUGAUUUAUUAUUUUUUUUUCAGCUUCUAAAGAGUCAUGCUUUCUUUUACAAUAGAUGCUAAAUCACUGCUACAGGGUGGAAAAAACUGUCUUCAAUAUUAGAUGUUCUAACAGGAUGAAAAAAAACUGUAUUUGUUAAUUUUUACAAAUGCUUUUUUUCCCCCCAGAUAAUCCUCCAGUGGUUUGAAAAAUUUUAAGUAUAUGAAUAAGUGGGUAAAACAAUUAGUUGAUAAGUUGAAACAUUUUAGUAUCAGCUAAAGAUAUUUAAUUCUCCCCUGGAUAGUCUGUUACUUACAGGUCAAAAAAUGAUAGCUUUCAAAGUGACAGUUUAAGUGAGAUUCAUGUCUGCAUUAAAACAACUUUGUUUUGGUGCCCAAGGUAAAAUGUGUUUUAGCUACUAUUGGAGAAAAUACAUCUAUUAUGCUUUGAAGCUUAAAGAACGAAUCAGCUCAACUUCAGGUAAAUGUCUAAGCUACAUCUAGGAAGUUCAUUAAUUGCAAGAAAUAUCCUUGGAUGCUAAUUCAUCUCUGCUUUAUUGGUUCCUAUCAUACUUUUGGCCAUGGUUAACUUGCAUCUAAAAAAUUAGUAAUUAGAUAAUCUUCCACAGUUUGCUCUACUAAAGGAACCCCCCUUUUUUUUUCUUUUGCAUUUAUAUGGUAGGCAGCUUAUGAUAGGAUUUCAAUUCCUCAUUACCACAGCAGCUUUACUCUUCAUUAGUCUACUACUAUGGGUCUAAAUCUUGUAUGUGGGAGAUCAGCAGGAUUUGAGAUAGGGUUUCACCAUGUCCAGUUCUACUGAAUCAGCAGCAUCUUGUCUGUAAGACAAAUGUUAUUUUAGCAAUAUUCUUAGAUAUGAGAGAAAAAAAGGAAAGAUUUUCUAUUGCAAAAGUCAGAUCGCAUAACGUAAUUCAAAAUAUACUAUUAGAGGAUAUUGCUUGCUACAUUUUGAAAACAACUCAAAUAAAUGAAAUCUAAGUAUUGAAAUGGACAGAAUAUUAAAUGUGUUAGGAACAGUGAUAACAUCUGUAAUAGUAGACAUUUUAGUGGUCUGCAUGCUCUGCCAUUGGAUCCAUGUGUAGAUACCCAUGUAUGAGACAUUAAAAAUGCAAAAUUUAGUUUAAAAUUUAGUAAAAGUUCUGAUUAGUGCUGGAAAACUGUCAUGUGGAGUGAAUAUGAAUAUGCACCUAGUUUAAGUGCCUAAGCAAAGAAAUAGAAUUCUGUAAUUGACUUUGCUACCCUUUAAGUACCUGUUAUCCAUGACUACAGAUAUGACCAUGACUCAGAAGGUGACAGAGCGAGACAGAGCCAAUGAAAGUUCCUUUCUCAAAACGGCUUUCUGAAGUCCUAAGUGUGAGCUAAUAAGCCAAGCAGUGAAUUAAACAGUCACUCAGUGUCAGAAAAACAACUUUGUAUUUUCCUGUAAUAGUUAUAUUUCCUCAUUUCAAUUUUUGAUUAAAUUGGUACUAUAAAGGGUGCAAUCCAGUCCCUUAGUGGCAGUAAUUAGAACAUAAAUUGCAUUUAUUUCUGUGAGAGUUGAUUUUUAGAUCUUAGUUUUGAUACUUAUUGGCCAAGAGCAUUCAUGCAUGAUUCACUAGAAAAUUGUCUACACCUGAGGCAAUUACACAGCUACUUUGUAGGAAGCUGUUAACUGAGUCCCUCUUUUCUUCAUGUUUAGAGAGCUGGGAUGGAAAUAAAACAGAAGCUUAUUUUCUCAACCAGGAGGAACUUGCUCAGCUUCUUGUCUGUUACACUUCAAAGGUACUCUAGUCUAGGCUAUAUUUUCCUUGGCCUAUGCUUUAUAUUAAGGAGAAGAUGGCUAUAAACAUGCUCAUCUUCCUCUGUUCUGUCUAAAGAAACAUGCUGUUUGGCAUUAGAUGUUAGCAUAAAUAAAAAUCUGAGAUGCUUAGGCACUUUUUUUCUUUUUAUGCUUUGGCGUAGAAGAUCAGAGAUCAAGAACUUUAGAUUAAAUUCAUGGAUCUGCCUCUGGCCCCAUCUAAAGCCAUGAGGAGUAGUUACUUUCCUUCACAGUGGUGGGUUAACUGGAGAAAUAAGCAUUCCAAUAAUCUGCUGUUCUGCCUUCACAGUUUUGGACUGCCAUGGUUUUUAUAUGUAGUACUUGUAGAAAGUGCUCUUGGAUCGGAUUUAUUUUCAUCUGAUGUUUCAGCAUGCAUGGAUCAAUCUGGAAGAUACUGCUGCUGGCACAAUUGUGUAAGUGGUCCAUAUAAACCCAAAGAGCUUAAGUUCCCUUUGGUGAUGUCUUUGGUGAUUAGGACUGCUAAUGUACUAGAAAUUACAAGAAAAGUAUUUUAUGGCCACAGAGCAAAAGUGAAUUUGUUUGGAAUAUGAGACAGAUUUUUAAAAUAAUUAGUAAAUACAAAACCUGCUAGAUGUUGGUGUUGUUUCUCAAUUAGUCUCAUUGUUCAAAUUAGAUUAAUUUGCUAUACAAAACUCACUUAUGCUCCAGGUUCCGAUGCUAACAAAUGCUUCCUGUAAAACAAAUUCAUUACCAAGCAAAUGAAUGAAGAACAGAAUUAAAGUGAUUUCACAAAUUGAAAUUGUGCCUGAAUGACAUUAUUGCUCAAACCAGUGCUGUCAUAUGGUUUAGUGAAGCUUUUAUGGAAGUGAAGAUCUUAAUUCUGCAUCUGUAUGAUGUCAAAUGCAAAAAAAAAAUAAAAAAAAUAAAAAAAAAUUCCUUCCACCUCUGGAAUUACAGUUUACGUGCUGUUGGAAGAGAAGGUAUUUCUACCCUUCAGUGGUUGUAGCACAUAUGGCAAAGAAUUGGAAAGUUUUAAAGAAAAAAAAUCAAAGCUUAGAAGUACUGAAAGACCAUUAAUUGGAGUGAGCUAGUUACAUUCAUGCAAGGAAUAAAUAUCUUGUGUACCUAAGAAAAUAAUUAUGUACCUUUGUUACUGAAAGGUGUAUUCAGCAAAACAAAUGUCUUCAUUUUCUGCACUACUUGCUAACGACUGCUUAAGCUGUCUUCACUGUGAUGUUACUGCUAUUAUAGUACAUGAUAUGUACCUGAAGAACUUGAUUGACUUCAGAAGAAUCGAGCAGUAGUUUAAAAAAAGAUUCUCUUCUUGACUGUGAAGAUCUGCACAGAUCAUAGCAUCCACACAAAAGUAAUAUACAAACUAAAUUGGGUUCAAUCCUCUCAGGCCUUGGUCCUCAUUUAGUGAACAGGACUAAAGCAGAGAACUUAAUUUCUCAGUUUAAGGUCUAGGAAAGUGUCUGCAUAAAAUGAAGCUACUUAUGUGGUCAUAAUGGAAAUAUUAAUAUACAUUAUAAAGAAAAAUGUGUAUUACUACUGUGUCUUCUGUGUCUUCUUGUUUGUUAAUCUAUUACAGUUUAAGUAUUGCCAUGUAUUAUGGUAUUUCGUGUGACACCACAGGUAAACCUCUCUUGUUUAAUACAGGUAUUUACAAUCCCUUGGGCCAAAUGAACUUUGCAACAAAAGGGCAGAAAUGCCUCACCAUCAGGGGUGCAGGCCCUUAAUAUCCAAGCCUGGCAGGAAGACUACUGGCAGGAAGUUACACUACUACAUUCAAUUGUUAAAAUUUAAAUAAGAAACUAAAAGCAGUUAUGGCAUUUUGGAAAUGGCUUCCUUAUUUAAGAGCAAAUUUAAUGGCCAAAUUCUACUUAUCAUAUUCAGUACAGCCUAGUGCCAUAGUAGCUUCCCUAUUGCUCUUAAAAUUACUUUUAAAAAUGUUGAAAACCAGUUCUACACACCUACCACUGAUCCUGCAUUGCUGAUUUUGUUUGUGAUGUGUGUUCUGCACUUUAAUACUGCCUCUAACACUCAAGGUAGGAAAAUAAUGCAAAUUUCUUGCAAGGAAAAAGUGAACAGUUUCCUGCAGCAGCGAAGAAUAGGCCCUUGAGGGAGAUCUCUAAUGCAGUUUUUGAAUUAUAUGGCUCGUUGGUUGCCAGUGUUCUUCUGUAUUUUGGUUUUUCAGUAGGGUGAAUUAGUGGGAAGCUAUUUGACCUCUUCACCUGUCUGUGCUCCCUGUGCAAAAUAUGCUUAAAUGGUUACAGCAAGAACAAGAGACUGAAUGAGCAUCACUUGAAGGAAAGCAAAAGUUGCGUUUUUGUCACUGUAAUUUUUCUCUGGCAGCUGAGCACUAGAAUAAGUCUUUGAAAAUGGUGGCUUUGAGCAAAAUGUCUGAUUAGGGCUUUUAAUAGUACGAGUCAAAAAAAAAUAUUAAAUGAGUGAUGAAAAUUCUUUAUGUGAUAAAGGGGCAAUGUUUAUUAUAGCACUUUAAAUGGAAUAUAAAAUCCCUGAUCCAUUACACACUACAGCAGAUGCCAACAAAAGGUGCUAUAUGCUUUGUUUUACCUUUGAAAACUAAGGGCCAGAAACUGCGGAGGUCUGAAGUACUUCAGUAUUACUGCUUGGAUAAACAGGCUAUUCAUGGGAUUGUCUGGAAUAAAUCACGUCAGAAGGCUCUGAAUUCCUCCCACCGCACAGCCCCAGGCCUCGUGGUGAUUUACUCGUUCAUGCCUGAAUGCUUCAAAUGACACUCACAUGACAUAAGGCACCUUACUUAGAACAAUUUGAAUUGCACUUAAAAUAUAUAUAUUAAUACCGAAAAAGAGGCGCCGGACCUGGCCACGGGUUCUUUGAACUGAUGGCUCAAUGGAUGAAAUGGCAUACAUCUG